rnacentral:rRNA from 1 species
AGCCCUAAGCGGGUGGUAAACUCCAUCUAAGGCUAAAUAUGACCACGAGACCGAUAGCGAACAAGUACCGUGAGGGAAAGUUGAAAAGCACUUUGAAGAGAGAGUUCAAGAGUACGUGAAACCGUUUAGGGGUAAACCUGAGAAACCCGAAAGGUCGAAGGAAGAAAUUCAUUCGCGUUUCGUCGUCGACGUUCGACGAUCGUUUGACGGAGGGCGUUCGCGCGCACUUCCGCUCUUUCGUCGAUUCUCGAAUCGAUGACGAACGCGUGCACUUUUCUUCUGGUAGGACGUCGCGAUCCGUUGGGCGUCGGUCUAAGGCUCGCAGAGGAGUCCGUAAGUUAAGGCGCGAGCCCUAACUUACGGACCUGCGUGUUUUUACCCGACCGACUCGCUCGACGGUAAACGAACGGUUUAAGGCCGCUCUCCCUUAUCGAGCGUUCGACUCGUCGCAAGCGCGCCAGAUGAUUGUCGGCGAUCGGACCCGGUGCCGGUUCCGACCUCUGGCGACUGUUGGCGACGAAGUUCUCGAACAGACCUUUUCGAAACCGAUCUGCGACGCUAUAGCUUUGGGUACUUUCAG